CUGGUCGUGACACUCAGACCCUGAUCCUGUGUGUUGUGACGGAACACUACGUUCUUUUUAAAAGGAACCUCAUUGCAAGCAAGGAGCAAUGGGGAGGAUGGUAUAGCGGAAGCAGAUGUGGAACGUUCAUCGGAUGGGGGUGGCAAAAGGAUGAAUUGACUUUUGUACAAAAUAAAUGGGAAAAGGAGCCAAAUUGCUGUGGAAAAUGUCAAGAUCUGUUCAUACUCCAUAUCUGAGGACCUGAGCUGUCCCCAGUCCACCUGGUCGUGCUGCUGUUCCAGUUUCAGCUGUUCUACCUGCGGCUAUGGACCACUGACUGAGCUGUUCACUGGAUGUGCUACCUUGUCUCGGAACUGCUGUUUUUGACGCGGUCUCUACUGCACCUGCGGUCUCGACCUCUGAAUGCUUGGCUAUGAAAAGCCAACUGACAUUUACUUGAAGUACUGACCUGUUGCAUCCUCUACAACCACUGUGAUUAUUAUUUGACCCUGCUGGUCAUCACGAAGAACAAUCUGGCCGUAAUGGCCAUGUACUAUUAUAAUCUCCACUCGAUGCAGCCAGUAGAGGACUGGCCACCCCUCAGAGCCUGGUUCCUCUCUAGGUUUCUUCCGAGGUUCCUUCCUUUCUUGAGAGUUUUUCCUAGCCACUGUGCUUCUAUAUCUGCAUUGCUUGCUGUUUGGGGUUUUAGACUGUGUUUCUGUAUAGCACUUUGCCAUUGGUUGAUGUAAAAAGGGCUUUAUAACUACAUUUGAUUUAUUUGAUUGUCCCCAGCACAAGGUGCAUCUGUGUAAUGAUCAUGCUGUUUAAUCAGCUUCUUCAUAUGUCACACCUGUCAAGUGGAUGGAUUCUCUUGGCAAAGGAGAAAUGCUCACUAACUGGGAUGUAAACACAUUUUUGUACAAAAUUGAGAAAUAAUCUAUUUGUCCGUAUGGAACAUUUCUGGGAUCUUUUAUUUCAGCUCAUGAAACAUGUUGCGUUUAUACUUUUGUUCAGUAUAAAUGAUUGUUGUAUUCAAGUUCUCGUAAAAUAGAUGGAUUACAUCUGCACUGAGACAAUCGGAUGGUUCUAUAAUCGAACGAAUACCUGCGCUCUUUCUGUUUACAAAGCCCUGCUCAACAAACCUGACUUAACGUCACUGUUAAGAUUUAAAAUUACAAGUUAGGUAGAUCAGCCUUUGGUUUCCUUGAGCUUUGUGUAUAGAAUGAUCUACAAUGCACUUUAAAAUUGGAGGAAUCGGUGCCUCUAGGACAUUUCAGACAGUUGUUAAGGGACCUUUUUACAGAAGAUUGUUUUGCUUUUUGUGUAUUGUAUGCGAAUGUGUAGUUCAAUGUGUUUAUUGUAUUUUGACGUAUUGUGGUGCUAUACAGGGCUCAUAUUGAAAAGAGACUUUGGUCUCAGCUUUGACUUUUAAAAUAAAA
ensembl:lncRNA